rnacentral:rRNA from 1 species
GGUUAGAGUUUGAUCCUGGCUCAGGACGAACGCUGGCGGCGUGCUUAACACAUGCAAGUCGAACGAUGAAGCCCUUCGGGGUGGAUUAGUGGCGAACGGGUGAGUAACACGUGGGCAAUCUGCCCUGCACUCUGGGACAAGCCCUGGAAACGGGGUCUAAUACCGGAUGACACUUCCUUCCGCAUGGGAGGAGGUUGAAAGCUCCGGCGGUGCAGGAUGAGCCCGCGGCCUAUCAGCUUGUUGGUGGGGUGAUGGCCUACCAAGGCGACGACGGGUAGCCGGCCUGAGAGGGCGACCGGCCACACUGGGACUGAGACACGGCCCAGACUCCUACGGGAGGCAGCAGUGGGGAAUAUUGCACAAUGGGCGAAAGCCUGAUGCAGCGACGCCGCGUGAGGGAUGACGGCCUUCGGGUUGUAAACCUCUUUCAGCAGGGAAGAAGCGAAAGUGACGGUACCUGCAGAAGAAGCGCCGGCUAACUACGUGCCAGCAGCCCGCCGGUAAUACGUAGGGCGCAAGCGUUGUCCGGGAAUUAUUGGGCGUAAAGAGCUCGUAGGCGGCUUGUCACGUCGGAUGUGAAAGCCCGGGGCUUAACCCCGGGUCUGCAUUCGAUACGGGCAGGCUAGAGUGUGGUAGGGGAGAUCGGAAUUCCUGGUGUAGCGGUGAAAUGCGCAGAUAUCAGGAGGAACACCGGUGGCGAAGGCGGAUCUCUGGGCCAUUACUGACGCUGAGGAGCGAAAGCGUGGGGAGCGAACAGGAUUAGAUACCCUGGUAGUCCACGCCGUAAACGUUGGGAACUAGGUGUUGGCGACAUUCCACGUCGUCGGUGCCGCAGCUAACGCAUUAAGUUCCCCGCCUGGGGAGUACGGCCGCAAGGCUAAAACUCAAAGGAAUUGACGGGGGCCCGCACAAGCAGCGGAGCAUGUGGCUUAAUUCGACGCAACGCGAAGAACCUUACCAAGGCUUGACAUAUACCGGAAAGCAUCAGAGAUGGUGCCCCCCUUGUGGUCGGUAUACAGGUGGUGCAUGGCUGUCGUCAGCCUCGUGUCGUGGAGAAUGUUGGGUUAAGUCCCGCAACGAGCGCAACCCUUGUUCUGUGUUGCCAGCAUGCCCUUCGGGGUGAUGGGGACUCACAGGAGACUGCCGGGGUCAACUCGGAGGAAGGUGGGGACGACGUCAAGUCAUCAUGCCCCUUAUGUCUUGGGCUGCACACGUGCUACAAUGGCCGGUACAAUGAGCUGCGAUGCCGUGAGGCGGAGCGAAUCUCAAAAAGCCGGUCUCAGUUCGGAUUGGGGUCUGCAACUCGACCCCAUGAAGUCGGAGUUGCUAGUAAUCGCAGAUCAGCAUUGCUGCGGUGAAUACGUUCCCGGGCCUUGUACACACCGCCCGUCACGUCACGAAAGUCGGUAACACCCGAAGCCGGUGGCCCAACCCCUUGUGGGAGGGAGCUGUCGAAGGUGGGACUGGCGAUUGGGACGAAGUCGUAACAAGGUAACC